rnacentral:rRNA from 1 species
UACGUAGGGAGCAAGCGUUGUUCGGAAUGACUGGGCGUAAAGGGUGCGUAGGCGGUUGUACAAGUUAGAAGUGAAAUACCCAGGGCUUAACUCGGGUGCUGCUUCUAAAACUGUAUGACUUUGAGUGCAGUAGAGGUUAGUGGAAUUCCUAGUGUAGCGGUGGAAUGCGUAGAGUAUUAGGAGGAACACCAGAGGCGAAGGCGGCUAACUGGACUGCAACUGACGCUGAGGCACGAAAGUGUGGGGAGCAAACAGG